rnacentral:lncRNA from 1 species
CUUCUUGAAGAUCCACUUGACCCUAUUGGGGUCAUAUCCUCAGGUGCAUCAAUCAAGGUCCACACUUGGUUGGUGUAUAUUGAGUCCAUCUCAAAUUUCAUGGCUUCCAGCCAUCUGUUUGAGUCUCUACACAUGACAGCUUCUGAAUAGAUCAGUGGAUCAUCAUCAUGGAUGAUGUUGAUCGAAUUAUCACUCUCAGUGAUA